GAUCCCGGUGAUGAUUUAUGUUAAAAAGUAGUGGCCUGAUUCAUACAUUGAUGAUAUCUAUAUUAUCACUCUGAGGGAUC
rfam:Triticum aestivum genome assembly, contig: Triticum_aestivum_CS42_TGACv1_scaffold_499707_6BL